rnacentral:lncRNA from 12 species
CAUAUACAUACACAUCUAUAUAUAAUAUACAUAUUUAUUUAUUUAUUUUAAUAUACAUAUUUAUAUGCAGGUACUCAUAUACAUAUUCAUAUACAUAAACACAUAUACUUUUAAUCCUUAUUACAAUCUUGCCAAGUGCUUCUCAUCCUCAUUUUGCCAACGAGGAAAAUGCAUCUCAGAGAAGGUAACAAAUUUGCCCAGUACCAACUGACAAUUAAUACUGAUUAACUAGUAAUUAACCCGUGCAGUCCCAAUCUCCCACUGCCAAAAGGCAGCCUGGAGUCUCCUUCAGAAAACAUUGUGGCAGCAGGAGCAGCAGCAGCAGCAGCAGCAGUAGCAGCAGCCCUGAGAGCCUGCCCACUGAGUGCCAGGCUGGCUGUGCCCUGAGGCUCCGGGGCUGAUGCAGGGGCGGGGGCUGUGGGUGCCCUGCUGCUUGGCUCCCCCACCCACCCUAUUCCCUGUCCUCCCUCCCCAGCCACCGGCAGUCUGCCUCUCUGCCCGCCCCGGACCUGGCAGGUGUCACGUACCACCCUCCUCCUGGCCCUGACUCAGCUCCUCCAUGCCCAACAUUGUGGUCCACGGUGCCCUUGGAAUCUCGGGGUGAGACCUGGCAGCGAACCCCGUGUGCUCUUACCGCAGCGGGGCUCCUCCGACCGUCGGUACAAGGGGCUUGUGUUUCUGAGAAGGGAUGGGCCUGUGACCCCGAUAAGAUGAGGAGGGCUGCCGGAUUGCUUUGGGCAAAGCCUCUUCGGUCUCAAGAAAAACACACACUCCCUUGUGUUCCAUUGCUGCUGUGGCAAGAUCUGACCCAGAGAACUGCUUUAGUGACCAAGCUAAAAUCGAAGCCAAUAACAAGGAAUAGUAGAGAAACUGUUCACCAGACACCUGUGGAAGAUAGCAAGACCGAUUUUAUUGGAGCUACUGCAGUAGAGGAGAGAGAUUUUAUAUAAAACUGAGCUCUGCUCCAAAUAUAGCAAAGACAACUGGGAAUUUAGAGCUGAUGAGCGGGUGGGGGUGGAGAUCAGUGGCUAGAAAACUAUUAAGAAGAGCCUGAUUAGACAUCUUGCAUGAGGGAUUCUUGCUAAACUGACUUAGCAGGAUUCUUUGCUACCAUUGGGGUCAGCAGGCCAAGGGCAGGGUAGCUGGCCAAGGUUGAGCCCCAGUGGAGAAGAGAGCUCAAGGGGGGCCUGCCUAAGGUUUGGUCCAGGAAAGAGUCUUCAUUGGAGGAUGGUGGUGGGG